rnacentral:lncRNA from 1 species
GUGUGUCUGAGUUGGCAGGUUUCCCUGUGAAACAUUUCAAUGUUAUGUCAGAAGAAGAAACAUAUUUUAAAGUAAAAUAUCUAAAUAUCUUCCCAAACACAAUUUUAGUUAAUUAAUGAAGGGAUUUCAUUAAUUAACUAAAAUUUCAUUAAAAUGAAAAUUGUCAAGGAUCUCAUGAGAUUAGUCUUACAAAUUGGUUAAAACUCUUAAGAGCUAAAAGCUUUUCAACUAGCUUCUAAUUUUCCUCAUCAACUGUUUUAUAGAGUUAAUAUUAUUGUCCACAUAUUGCUUGGAGCAAAAAAAUUGGCAUGAGUAUCUCACUGGUGUCCUGCCUUGUAAGCAGGUUACUUUGGAAUCCAGGUUGAUUUCUCUAAGGACCUGGCUAAUCUAUGUAAUUGACGUCAGUGUAGUGGCAGAACACAUGCACAAGCAUUUACAGAUUGAUGAAUGUGCACGAAUGGAAACUACCUGCUGCCAUUUUUCCAGUAGGAAGUGAAAAUCUGCAUGUUGAAUAAUGCAUUAAACAUUUAAAUGCUGGGGCUGUGGCUCAGGCUCAGCGCUUGCCUAGCAUUCAUGAAGCACUGGGUUCAAGCCUCAGAACCAUGUAAAAAUAAAACAAAGCCAUUCUGUCCAUCUACAACUAGAAAAAAUUUUUAAAAAAAUUUUAAAGUCAAACUGUAUGCUUCCUUUAUAUGACCUUCUUUUAAAUGAUGGUUUCUCUAAAAAUUAUUUAGUAAAUACAUAAUGAUGAAAAUGUUCAAAUUAUUAUUAUCCCUCUUAAAAUGUUUACCUUUUCCUUCAAGGGACUUGAGUGCCCUCUGCAGGUUAUAAAGAGAUAAUUAAUGACUAUGUCUAUUUUUGAGCCUGUGAUUUUUUUCCCUUUCAAAAUUGCAGAGCCCAUUAUGUCUAAUCUCAAAGCAAGCAUGAUCCAAUUUAUAUUGUUAACCCUUAAUUUGCCAGUGAUUGAAGGAGGAGUUUCUUUUCUGUACAUGUUUUGUUGUGUUUAGUGUAAAUGUGAUUCUUGUGAGCUUUCCAUGUCACUUAACUAGGGUCCUAUAAAUAUUUGAUGAUAACACAUUCUCUCACAGAAAGAAGAUUGGGAAAACAUUUAGGUACUUUGAAAUGUUUUAAAGAUUUUGAGGCUAGUUUAUUUCUUGUUGCAUUUGGAAUAGUGUACAUUGGAAUAAGCCUUGCUUUGUCCACAUGCAUCAUGUAAAAUUAUGUGAGACUUCAGUUUCUUGAUUGGGUUUAUGAGUGAUGUUUGUGUUCAGGCUUAAAAAAACAUCUUAAAAUAUCUUAUUUUUUUAAAAGGAUUGAACAGAUAGCACUUCAAUAUUAUUGUUGGUAUUAUUGUCCACCAACUAGAAAGAAUAUUUAUAUUUGAAGAGCAAAAAGCAACAUUUUCAUCGCCAUAGUGUGGAAGUACCUGAGUCAUUCAUGUCUGUGAAACCCAUACUUUCUCAAUGGGAGUAGCAGAUUUGUUUCUAAAGGACAUAGAAAUUCAUUUGUAUAUGAAACUAGAACUGGAGUGCUGGUGGCACUUCUGAUUCAAUUAACUUACUUGGUGAAGCUGCCAGGGAAACUAAAUAUGAUGAGAACAAGAGGAAUGACUGGAUCAAAUUAAUAGAAAUAGAUCUUUUUGCAAGCAGCGUAAUGAUUCUGAUCAUCAACCUUGAAAAGUAAAUUAGAACAAGCAAAUUACUGUUGAAAAAUUCUUUUAGCACUCUGCUGUUGCUACACAGCUAGUCAUGGCUCAGCCUGGGGCAGGGAAAAAAUGCACUCAGUUUUGGUUGACAAAGGAAACAUUAUUAAAGUGAGUGUUUACAUUGUGUUUAUUGAAGUGUUCAAAGAAUAUUUGUGGCAUCUUCAAGCAACCUGCUGCUCUCCAGACUAUGAUAGUGCAUGAGUAAUAAUAAAAAUGAGUCACUUGUACACUUUAAAUAAGUGCCUUAAACUUGUUUUUCAACUAUCUCCAAAAUAUUUUAAGUUUCAAACUAAAUAGUGCUUUCUCUUCUAAAGAUUUUUUUUUAAUUUUUUUAAUUUUUUUUUUUUUAGUUUUCGGCGGACACAACAUCUUUGUUUGUAUGUGGUGCAGAGGAUCGAUCCUGGGCCGCAUGCAUGCCAGGCGAGAGCGUUACCACUUGAGCCAUAUCCCCAGCCCCUCUAAAGAUUUUUUUUCUCUAGAAAUUGAACCAAUUUUUUAAAAACAUUCAUUUCUUUGAAUUUUUCUUGAAUAUACCUUCCAGUUACUUCUACAUCCUUUGUGUAACUUUCCUCCCAGGAUCUACAAUGCAUAAGAAAUAAUCCUAUUCCUUAAUAUGCUAAGAAUCACAAAAACUAAAAGCAAUUGUGAAAUUACUGACUAGUGUCCAAUUGAGUAUAUAAUAUGUGCAUUAAAAAGAUAUCUGAUUAGGGUCAUAACUUUUGAGAGCUACAAUUACCUUAAUCUACCUCAAAAAGAUUAAAUUGAGAGUGGAAAAGAUAGUUACUAACAAGCCUGCCCAUCUGACAUUUAAAAGCUUUUUUUUAAAUAUAUAUAUAUAUAUAUAUAUAUACAUAUAUAUAUAUAUAUAUAUAUUUAGUUUUCGGUGGACACAACAUCUUUAUUUCAUUUUUAUGUGGUGCUGAGGAUCGAACCCGGGCCACACGCAUGCCAGGCGGGCGUGCUACCACUUGAGGCACAUCCCCAGCCCUUAAAAGUUUAAUAGAUCUUUAUUAUUUAUACUGAGAAAACAGGAAAGUAAUUAAAAACCUAGAAAGAAUUUUAGUUUUUAUCUUUCUAAAGAGAUCCAUUGAAAUCAUUUUUAUAUUUUAGAAAUAGUAGAAGCGUGGUACUUAACAGGAAUUAAAGUACUUUAUUUUUAUUGACCAGCAGCCCCCAGUACAAAAAAAAUUAAUCUCAGGUAUUAUUGAAUAUAAGUGUUCUGAAUUCCCUUAUGAACUAAUUUUUGAGAAACUAUUUUCUUGUAUUCACCAUGGGACAAGUUGUCAGUCUUCUUUAUUUCAACUGCUUAUCACAGUUACCAAAGAUUAUCCCACACUAUAAAUUCUUAAGAACUUCCUAAUCAGAUAUUUAAGUAUAUGCCAUUUCUAUAAUGUAAUUUCAGGGCAUCUUAUAUUUAUUAUUUUGAUGUCCAGAAUCAAUAAAAAAUAUUUCUUUAUCCAUAAUCAUCUAAGAAAAAUCUUUUUUGAAUCUAAAAGU